AGGGCACCACCAGGAGUGGAGCCUGCGGCUUAAUUUGACUCAACACGGGAAAACUCACCCGGCCCGGACACUGGAAGGAUUGACAGAUUGAGAGCUCUUUCUUGAUUCAGUGGGUGGUGGUGCAUGGCCGUUCUUAGUUGGUGGAGUGAUUUGUCUGGUUAAUUCCGAUAACGAACGAGACCUUAUCCUACUAAAUAUGUGGUCAAGUUUACAAACACUUGAUCUCACUUCUUAGAGGGACAGGCGGUGAUUCAACCGCACGAAACAAGGCAAUAACAGGUCUGUGAUGCCCUUAGAUGUCCGGGGCCGCACGCGCGCUACACUGAAGUGAUCAGCGUGCUUUGCUAUGCCUACUCUGACAAGAGUGGGGAACCCCAUGAACCUUCUUCGUGAUUGGGAUAGGAGAUUGUAAUUAUUCUCCUUGAACGAGGAAUUCCCAGUAAGCGCGAGUCAUAAGCUCGCGUUGAUUACGUCCCUGCCCUUUGUACACACCGCCCGUCGCUACUACCGAUUGAAUGU
rnacentral:rRNA from 1 species